rnacentral:rRNA from 1 species
CUGUUUGCGAUAUACAGUAAGCGGCUAAGCGAAAGCGUUAAGUGAUCCACCUGGGGAGUACGAUCGCAAGGUUGAAACUCAAAGGAAUUGACGGGGGCCCGCACAAGCGGAGGAACAUGUGGUUUAAUUCGAUGAUACGCGAGGAACCUUACCUGGGCUUAAAUGGGGAGUGACAGCUGCUGAAAGGUGGUUUUCUUCGGACACUCUCCAAGGUGCUGCAUGGUUGUCGUCAGCUCGUGCCGUGAGGUGUCGGGUUAAGUCCCAUAACGAGCGCAACCCUUACUGUUAGUUGCCAGCGCGUCAAGGCGGGGACUCUAGCGGGACUGCCACCGUAAGGUGAGAGGAAGGUGGGGAUGACGUCAAAUCAGCACGGCCCUUAUGUCCAGGGCUACACACGUGUUACAAUGGCCGGUACAAAGGGCAGCUACACCGCGAGGUGAUGCUAAUCUCCAAAGCCGGUCCCAGUUCGGAUCGAAGUCUGCAACCCGACUUCGUGAAGUUGGAUUCGCUAGUAAUCGCGCAUCAGCCAUGGCGCGGUGAAUACGUUCCCGGGCCUUGUACACACCGCCCGUCAAGCCAUGGGAGCCGGGGGUACCUGAAGUCUGCAACCGCAAGGAGCGGCCUAGGGUAAAACUGGUGACUGGGGCU